rnacentral:rRNA from 1 species
GGUACGACUCUCGGCAAUGGAUAUCUCAGCUCUUGCAUCGAUGAAGAAUGUAGCAAAAUGUGAUACAUGGUGUGAAUUGUAGAAUCCCAUGAACUAUCGAGUGUUUGAACGGAAGUUAUGCUUGAGGCCAUCCGAUCAAGGGAACGCCUUCCUGGGCACCGAGC